rnacentral:misc_RNA from 1 species
AACUGAUACUACCUGCGGGAACCUGCGGAAGGAUCAUUACAGAGUUUUCUAACUCCCAAACCCAUGUGAACUUACCAUUGUUGCCUCGGCGGAGCCUACCCUGUAGCUACCCUAUAAGGUGGUUACCCUGUAGCGCCCCGCCGGUGGAUUUUCAAACUCUUGUUAUUUUUAGUAAUCUGAGAGUCUUAUUUUAAAUAAGUCAAAACUUUCAGCAACGGAUCUCUAGAUCGGAAGAGCACA